UGGGAUUUGCCUUUUUGUGAAACACCAACGUGUCUGUAGGUGUGGCAGUAAUGGAAUGUGAGGCGCACAACUGAACAAGUCACCAAACGUCAAUGAACCAGCUCACUGCUGCUUCUGGAGAACAGCCCGUGACAUUUUCCAAGCUGUGUUGCUCAGCCAGAUCCAGACACCUGAUCUCCAGGGUGUUCACCAGCCACGUGGCAUCCUCCCAGUUUCCUGAGGCAAAGAUGCAGACCAAAGCGCCGUGUCAGUUCACACAUGGAACACGGUCAUCUCCAGGGUCCUGCCUACCCAUCUGAGGACACGUCUGCCCAUCACCCAUGUGCAUUCUGUCACAGUGGGACCUGUGUGUGUUCCCUGCUCAUUGUCAUUUCCAUGGUUUUGCUGAUUCUAUGCGAUUCUUCCAGGCCACUCCAAGUUCCACCUCUUCCACGAAGCCCUCCUUGAUUGCUGGGCCCUGGUUGAACUCCUUAUUAGUAACACCCAGGUUAGUCCUACUUAAUUCUUACCUGCAGCCAAAGUGGACUUAGCAUCUCCUUGCAUGCCUGGUAAAGUCAAGGUUUUCAGCCAGGGCCUGUGUAUAAAGCAGAAGCAGCACAGAGUCUGGUUUGAAGCUUAGUGCUUGGGUUCAGACAGUUGUGGGUUACAAUCCCUUCUACACAUGUUCUCUGUGGAAACCAUUUGGUUCUCUGUGCUUGGAACUCGCCUGCAACGGGGCAAAGCCAUCUCACCUAGACUGUCGUUAUGAAGAUCGAAUUAGGUCAUUCUGAGAGGCAUUUAUGCGCCCUCCCUGAGUAACAAUCCAUGAAAAGUGGGCGUCAUUGCUGAAGCUCAAGGAAGAAAUAUGAAAUUUGAUUAUAUCCUUAUUCACGGCAUUGGGUCACCAACUCAGCACUUUUUAUGAAAGUAGCAUCUGACCUGGCAAAGGCUGUGUCAUCUUAUUAUCUCAGAAAGACAAAUUUACGGGGUCAGACGAUGGAUGGCUUGUAGAUUUCUCAAUGGGCUGGAAGGAAGGAGAGAAAAAGAGAGACAGGAGAGAGUACACAUUUAAUUCUAUUUCCCCUAGGGUGAUAUUUCCUUCCUCCCCUUCCAGGGUUCUCAAAAAGGCAUUCUAGGAAGUCCUGUAAAAUACAUGCUCAUAAAAAUCUCAUAAUUUCCAGAAAUUGUUGAGAAUUUAAAACUCGGUUGGGAGUUUGCUGUUUCAGCCUGAGACACCGGGGUCACGUUUCAGUGCUUGCAGUCUUGAGACAGUACGAGGCAUCCGGGAUGAAGCUGGGGAAAGAAGAUGUGGGGGCCCUGCUGACCUGCUCCUUCUCUCGAAAGACGCUUACCGGCUGCUGGUGUGUCACAGGGCUUUAGGAUUUGGAAAAACAGAGAGAUUUAAAAGAAGAUAGAAUGGUCAGAAUUUCGAGAACCGUGUGCUGAAGUGCCAUCUUUAGGGUACUCAUAACACGACCCUACAACAUUAGAGGUGCUGGAAUCAUGGAAGAGGCAUCCGGACUCUGUAAUGUCCUUCCCCCUGGAAAGUCUGCUCCAGAAGUGGGAGAUUGGGAGCUGUCAACAUAUGAGCCAUCUUUUGCUCUGUUCAAGAUGGUAGGGGCAUUCUCAACAUGCCCCUCACUCUGAUUCUGCCUCACUUUUAUUUUAGAAUUUUCCACUGCCUUUUCUGGAAUGUGCUUUUUCAACCCUCAAAAUCUGUAGAGAAGAAAUAAGCAGAAACCGAAAUGGCUUUCUGGUGUUCUCCAUGCUCUCAGCUUACUGGAAAAUCAAGCCACAGGCUCGAGGCUGGACUUUAAGGGAGAGCACUGCAAUCAUAGUGCUAUGGCCUUGGCUUCCUUUCUCAUCACCCAGGUACAGUCCUGCAGUCCUCAGAGGAUGCCAGUCCCACACAGGGGGAUCCUUCUCCAUAGGAAAACCGAGGAACAACACAGGUUCGAGGUGCACAGUGGCUAAGCACACUCAGUCCUCAAGAUCUUUCCUCUCAAAUGCUAAUGCUACCUUCAGAUGGGCUGCUGCCUGCUACCAUUUCAACAUCGAGUCCUUUAAGAUGCCAUCAGAGAGAGAGGGGAAGCAAGAGGCCAAGAAAAAUGAAAGGUAAACACAAGACCAGUGGAAUGAGUGGGGAGAUCUGUCUGUCUGUCUGUCUGUCUGUUUGUUUGUUUGUUUGUGUGAAGUGUCUUCUGCUUGACUGCAGUUACUGUUCUUCAAGUGAGGGUGAAGCACUUCUCUUCUCCUCUCUGAUAGCUCCGCAGCUGUCUAAGUAAACUCUGACAAACGCGUCGCAGCAGCGAGUGGAAACAUGUCUGAGACGCUGCAGCAUAGCCCGGCUGGUUCUGUUCUUAGCAGUAUUUGCUAAGUUGCAUCCAUUAGAAUGUUUUUAAACAAUGGGACGCAUGUCAUCUUGAUUUGACAGGAUAAUCCUGAGUUUAUAGAAUUUCAUCACAGUGUGUGAAACUGGUUUUUAACUUCACUAUACUGGCCCUCAGCGGUGGAGUCAACUGGGCACUGAAUAGAAAAAUCUCCCUCCUCCGUGUUGUCCCCAGCCCACCACAUUUCGCCCUAAGCUCUGCCCUGCACCAACACCAGCCUUCUUCUGGAGUUUGGCAGCUGUGGCAACUGCUGGCUGUCUCUCAACCACUUCACAAUAUGUAUCAAUGUAUUCUACAAAUCAUUGUAUUUGCCAAGCAUUCUACUACUACACAGUUCUGAUUCAACUGACCUGUAUCUUAGAGGUCAAUAUAUUUUCUUUUUUCCUUAGCUUGGCUAGGACUCCAUAGGAAACAGCUAUUUGAGUGAUGAUAUAUAGGAGAAGGAUAGUACUGUAUUUAACUGUCUGUUAAUAUCAGAGAAGAUGAAUAUUUUUCACCUCCCUGUACAUAGCUAUGCAUAAGCUUGGUAUUCAUUUAUGAACAAUGUAGCAUUUUCAAAGGCACAACUGAUUUACUUACAUUAAGUCAAUAUAAAUAAAUUAUGUUAGUAGAUUGCGAAUUUUGAAAGUUGUAAUCAACAUCAAAAAUGAAAUGUCUUGGUUGUCCAACUUAAAUUAUAUAAUGCAAUUUC
rnacentral:lncRNA from 1 species